GAUGAUAUGGAGCAUGAUAUAGAGCUAUUAGCAGAUCAGCUUUAUGAUAUAGAUAUGGAGCUAGCCAAUGCCAACGAGCACUUAGAUGGGCAUCACGUAAAGUUGGAUGCACUACGUGCACAGCAGGCAUAGGCCGAGCCCAUGGAGGAGGAGGAGGAGCUGAGGAGAUCAAGGGCUACUCGAGUAUGGACUUUGAGGCCAUUGCACCACCACCACCGAGUGGAGCUGCUCACUCCCCCGUGCUCAGCUUAGCUUCGU
rnacentral:lncRNA from 1 species